rnacentral:lncRNA from 1 species
AAAUCCCUCUCUUCUCAAACUCUCUCGAAACCCUAGACUCUGUUGUCAUCUUCAACCUCAAUCCCACCGGAAUCCAUGGAUUCUCAGGCCAUGGAUGACUUAAACUCUUCUCUGUAUUCUCUUAAACACUUGGUAUUCGAAGGUUCAAGGUCUGACCUCGAUGGUGUCCAUUUAGAUCUUCGCCGAUUCAAGGUUCUAUGAAUAUCUCCGGCCCAACUCCGGUAUGCUAUGGUUUUUUGAGCCUAGUUCUGACUUACCUGACUCAGAUCGGACCUUUUUCCAAGCCUUUCGCGUUCUUGGGUUCUUCUGAAACCCUGAUUACUUGAGGAUCUCUUUGAUUUUUUUCUAAAAAAGAUCUGUCACAAAUCUGUGCUCCACUUGGGUUUUUAAACAGUUCCCCCAAUUUUUCUUUCAAAAAUUAUUUUUUAAUAUCACUUUUCUUCGAUUUCGG